GGUCAUGAGUCUCAGUUCAUAGCCCCGGCUAACUGAGCGGCAACCCUCCACCACGGUGGGGUGCUCCGGGUGAAGACCAGGUUGAUUGCAAAGUGCAAUCAGCAAGCGUGGGUC
rnacentral:ncRNA from 10 species